rnacentral:rRNA from 1 species
GAAUUCGCCCUUAGAGUUUGAUCCUGGCUCAGAUUGAACGCUGGCGGCGUGCUUAACACAUGCAAGUCGAACGCGAAAGGGGGCUUCGGCUCCCGAGUAGAGUGGCGCACGGGUGAGUAACGCGUGGAUAAUCUGCCCUCUUGUUCGGGAUAACUGCUGGAAACGGUCGCUAAUACCGCAUAACAUACGGGAGGGACAUCCCUUUUGUAUCAAAGAUUUAUCGCUCGAAGAUGGGCUCGCGUCCGAUUAGGUAGUUGGUGAGGUAACGGCCCACCAAGCCGACGAUCGGUAGCCGGACUGAGAGGUUGAACGGCCACAUUGGGACUGAGACACGGCCCAGACUCCUACGGGAGGCAGCAGUGGGGGAUAUUGCACAAUGGGGGAAACCCUGAUGCAGCGACGCCGCGUGUAGGAAGACGGUCCUCUGGAUUGUAAACUACUGUCCCCAGGGACGAAGAUGACGGUACCUGGGGAGGAAGCUCCGGCUAACUACGUGCCAGCAGCCGCGGUAAUACGUAGGGAGCGAGCGUUGUCCGGAAUUACUGGGUGUAAAGGGAGCGUAGGCGGGGAUGCAAGUUGGGUGUUAAAUCUACCGGCUCAACUGGUAGUCGCACUCAAAACUGCAGCUCUUGAGUGAAGUAGAGGCAGGCGGAAUUCCUAGUGCAGCGGUGAAAUGCGUAGAUAUUAGGAGGAACACCAGUGGCGAAGGCGGCCUGCUGGGCUUUUACUGACGCUGAGGCUCGAAAGUGUGGGGAGCAAACAGGAUUAGAUACCCUGGUAGUCCACACCGUAAACGAUGAUUACUAGGUGUGGGGGGUCUGACCCCCUCCGUGCCGGAGCAAACGCAAUAAGUAAUCCACCUGGGGAGUACGGCCGCAAGGUUGAAACUCAAAGGAAUUGACGGGGGCCCGCACAAGCAGUGGAGUAUGUGGUUUAAUCCGAAGCAACGCGAAGAACCUUACCAAGUCUUGACAUCUGGAUGACAGGGACGUAACGGUCCCCUUACUUCGGUACAUCCAAGACAGGUGGUGCAUGGUUGUCGUCAGCUCGUGUCAUGAGAUGUUGGGUUAAGUCCCGCAACGAGCGCAACCCUUAUCUUCAGUAGCCAGCAGGUAAAGCCGGGCACUCUGGAGAGACUGCCGGGGAUAACCCGGAGGAAGGUGGGGAUGACGUCAAAUCAUCAUGCCCCUUAUGAUUUGGGCUACACACGUGCUACAAUGGCGUAAACAGAGGGAAGCGAGCCCGCGAGGGGGAGCAAAUCCCAAAAAUAACGUCCCAGUUCGGAUUGUAGUCUGCAACCCGACUACAUGAAGCUGGAAUCGCUAGUAAUCGCGGAUCAGAAUGCCGCGGUGAAUACGUUCCCGGGUCUUGCACUCACCGCCCGUCA